GUACAGGAAGUCUGUGGCACCGCACAGAAAUAGACUCCAGACCUCUUGACUCCUACCCUUGUGUUUUAACCACAAGCUCAUCCUUCUUCCCUUAAAUAUUCAAGAACUUGAAAGCCACGCAGCAUCAACACGUCAAAGAUCUGAGCGAUGCUUGCCUUAGAUUUUAUAAAAUCAUGUGCUUCCAAAAUGGACCAGGAUUUCACAAACCUGAACUGACAGUAAGAGAGACCGAGGACGUACAAGCAAUGGUCUGUGCCCACGGCGUUGAAGGAUGUGCGCCUUUCUGCUGUGGGGCUGUGACUCACGUCCCCGAGGUGCCGAACACCCAAAGAGACUCUUGCUGCAUGGGUCUGCACUCACACCCAGCGAACGAUGGUAUCGGUAUACUCAGAGCUAGCAUCCAAUGGCGAGAAAAGGUCACACCGUAUCUGAUUCAGAACGGGUACAAAAUAGUACCUUGAAGAUCCCCGCGGCACUCAGCAGCCGAGGGCUGAGUAAGUGCAACACAGCAGAACUCAGUCAGCCACCAAGCCCGCUGCAGGGUACUGCUGCUGCCUGGUGCCGUACCAAAACCAGAGCGCAGCGACCACUGCACGCGGGAUGCUUAUUUUUUGCUUUAGCAGCACAAUCCCAUUCUUUGAAAGAGAUAUGAUGAACUAACUCAGUAGGUAAAAGCCAGUGAAUGAUACUUCAUUUAUGCGUUGCACAUCUAACAACCAUUUUCAUUGCAUUAGUCGCCCAGAAAAAGCUCUCCCUGAAUACUGCGCCCAUGGAAUAACUGUUUCCAGAAGCUGCAGAAUAGCUGCACUACAUCUACUACCUACAGUUAUCUUGGUGCAUCCUAGUACUUGUACUGUCACGGCGCCUAGGUGAGCAGGCACACAUUGCGGUCCUCUGGCCUGGCCAGCUCUUGAUGCAGAAAUAUCCUUGCCCUGAAGAGUUGCAAGAAAUUCAAGAAAACAGAGUGAAAAAGACCACCGAAACACCGAGGCUUUCAGGCCCAGCUCCUCAGCCAUGUCUAGACAGCGGACGGAUGGGAAGCCGAGGCAGAUGGCACCUGCCCGGGCUUCACCUUUCUGGAAGACAGAGCGAGCGCCAGAGCCGUGAGCCAGGCCCAGACUCCCUGUCUGGUACCACAAGCCUAACCCGAUGCUGCGGCCGCCUGACAGUCGCUUACGACCGAGUGACACAGCAGUGUUUUCCUCCGUUACCAUGGCGUCCUGCAAACGACUCCAACACACUAGCCAGAAAUUAAGUGGGCAAACCUCUCGAAGUUCGGUGGUUUGGAUAAACAUCUGCAACGAUCUGGCUGGACUUGGGGACAGGCUGGCCUUGUUUUGGCACUCCUUUGCAAAAGAAACCACAAAAAUUAGUAGAGACGCACCCCUCUUCUAAGGGCAUCUGCUAAGUCUAGAGGAAAGGGUGUGAGGCAGUAAGAUCUACAGCAAGAAAAGGAGAGAGGGGAGGGAGGAGCUGAGGAAAGUGCCCCAUGGGAGGGUACCUUGUACAGUGCAGAAAGGUAGAAGGGAUUAGGAAAGGGAGAAAUGAAUGCAGGAGAUCAGAGAGAGAGGGAGGUGAUCUUUACACCACAAAG